UCUCUCUCUCUCUCUCUCUCUCUCUCUCUCUCUCUCUGUGGAAGUCUCAUGGUCGCCGAUCGGUGAAAAUUUUCCUGGCAAAGGUGGCGAUGACCAUGGUCCGAGAUCUAUCUUUAUUUCUCUUCAAGGGUUUUUCCUGAUUAUUCCUCUGAUGAGUCCAGUGGCAAACCCAGAAAUUUUGUGAAGGGGGUACAACGGUUUAAAGGUUCAAGGGACUAAGGUUGAAGGUCUACCUAUGAUGACGUGGUAACUCUUGUAAAGUUUCAUUUGAAGGGAUGACUCAUCAUUCCUCUCUGGGAAAACAAAUUCCUCUCCAAACUCAUCUGUAAUAGUCUUUGGCUGCUUUAACUGGGACUUUAUGGGACAGAUAGAGAGAGAUAUAGCUAUAAUCCAGAUGUAGAGGAAAUUGUUGAUUGGAAGUUCCUAACAGAUCAAUCGCACUAGUUGAAAAGAAAUGGUUGGGACAAUCGAAGGCAUUGAUUGGAAAU